rnacentral:lncRNA from 1 species
UAAGGGCUGUGUAAGAGACGAAAAGUUGGGGGGCCUUUGGGGAUAUUGUUACAAUAUGUGAGAGGGUAUUAGAGAGGGAUAUUUCUCUCUCUCUCUCUCUCUCUCUCUCUCUUCUCUCCCUCAGCCACUUUCUCUCUCCCUCUCUCUUAUCGUGCGAAGGAGGAAAGGAAGAAAGGAAAGAAAAGAGAAAGGAGAAGAGAAGAAGAAAAUGAGAAAGGAAAGGAAAGGAAGGAGAGGACCAAGGAGGAGAU